rnacentral:rRNA from 1 species
GGGGUACUCGAGCGGCGAACGGGUGAGUAACACGUGAGCAACCUGCCCCUGACUCUGGGAUAAGCCCGGGAAACUGGGUCUAAUACCGGAUACGACGCACCCCGGCAUCGGGUGUGUGUGGAAAGUUUUUUCGGUUGGGGAUGGGCUCGCGGCCUAUCAGCUUGUUGGUGGGGUAGUGGCCUACCAAGGCGACGACGGGUAGCCGGCCUGAGAGGGCGACCGGCCACACUGGGACUGAGACACGGCCCAGACUCCUACGGGAGGCAGCAGUGGGGAAUAUUGCGCAAUGGGCGGAAGCCUGACGCAGCGACGCCGCGUGGGGGAUGACGGCCUUCGGGUUGUAAACCUCUUUCAGCAGGGACGAAGUUGACGUGUACCUGCAGAAGAAGCGCCGGCUAACUACGUGCCAGCAGCCGCGGUAAUACGUAGGGCGCAAGCGUUGUCCGGAAUUAUUGGGCGUAAAGAGCUCGUAGGUGGCUGGUCGCGUCUGCCGUGAAAGCCCGCAGCUUAACUGCGGGUCUGCGGUGGAUACGGGCCGGCUAGAGGUAGGCAGGGGCAAGUGGAAUUCCUGGUGUAGCGGUGAAAUGCGCAGAUAUCAGGAGGAACACCGGUGGCGAAGGCGGCUUGCUGGGCCUUACCUGACGCUGAGGAGCGAAAGCGUGGGGAGCGAACAGGAUUAGAUACCCUGGUAGUCCACGCUGUAAACGUUGGGCGCUAGGUGUGGGACCCUUCC